GACGAACGCUGGCGGCGUGCUUAACACAUGCAAGUCGUACGGUAAGGCCCUUUCGGGGGUACACGAGUGGCGAACGGGUGCGUAACACGUGCGUAACCUUCCCACAACUUUGGGAUAACGCUAGGAAACUGGUGCUAAUACUGGAUAUGUGCUCCUGCUGCAUGGUGGGGGUUGGAAAGCUCCGGCGGUUGUGGAUGGACUCGCGGCCUAUCAGCUUGUUGGUUGGGUAGUGGCCUACCAAGGCGGCGACGGGUAGCCGGCCUGAGAGGGUGACCGGCCACAUUGGGACUGAGAUACGGCACAGACUCCUACGGGAGGCAGCAGUGGGGAAUAUUGCACAAUGGGCGCAAGCCUGAUGCAGCAACGCCGCGUGCGGGAUGACGGCCUUCGGGUUGUAAACCGCUUUCAGCAGGGACGAAGCUUUUUGUGACGGUACCUGCAGAAGAAGCACCGGCUAACUACGUG
rnacentral:rRNA from 1 species